GACGAACCGAGCGAACGUUGUUCGGAAUCACUGGGCUUAAAGGGCGCGUAGGCGGGUGCUCAAGUCCGGGGCGAAAUCCUCCAGCUCAACUGGAGAACUGCCUCGGAUACUGGGUGCCUCGAGGGUGGCAGGGGUAUGCGGAACUAUCGGUGGAGCGGUGAAAUGCGUUGAUAUCGAUAGGAACUCCGGUGGCGAAGGCGGCAUACUGGUCCACUUCUGACGCUGAGGCGCGAAAGCCAGGGGAGCAAACGGG
rnacentral:rRNA from 1 species